rnacentral:misc_RNA from 1 species
GCAUUCAAUCAAGGGAAAUAAGAAAUGUGCCCGUGUUAUAGCAGGCAUGUCAUAUAAAUUUAAAACACACGCAAAUCGCAUAACAAUAUAGAAAAGAGAAGAAAAAUAAUUAAGGAUUUAACGAUUAUAAAAUCUAUGUACAUGGACAAGACAAAAGAAAAAAAUACAAUCAUUCAGAACUCGCAAACCCUAUCUAAAAUUCAAUUCACAUAAAAAUAACAAUGUA